rnacentral:lncRNA from 1 species
UUGUGAAGGCCAACACCACAGGCAGUGUUGGGUGCGGACACAACCUCCUACUCAAAGUCCUCGACGAUGAAGUCUGGGUCUUCCUCUGUAGCAACGAAGCAAGGGUGAGUACAAAAGUACUCAACAAGUCCAACCCCAUCCACGGAGGGGGAUACAAUCAAGUAUAUGCACAGGAUAUAACAUGGAUAGGCUAUGGUUCAUUUGCAAUAAAGCUAGAUUUUCAACACAUGCACGGGUUUAUUUUCCAAAAGGGUUUUGCAAAGCUUUUCCUUUAGUAACCGAAACAUUGAGUAGGGUUGAUCCUACACAAAGGAUCCAAAUUUUAUUGCUAUCGGACUCCCCGUCCACCAUAGCUCACGGCACAACUGCUGGACACUUCCAAAAUCCAACACACACCAUGAAACCAU